rnacentral:rRNA from 1 species
UACGUAGGGUGCGAGCGUUAAUCGGAAUUACUGGGCGUAAAGCGUGCGCAGGCGGCUUUGCAAGACAGAUGUGAAAUCCCCGGGCUCAACCUGGGAACUGCAUUUGUGACUGCAAGGCUAGAGUACGGCAGAGGGGGAUGGAAUUCCGCGUGUAGCAGUGAAAUGCGUAGAUAUGCGGAGGAACACCGAUGGCGAAGGCAAUCCCCUGGACCUGUACUGACGCUCAUGCACGAAAGCGUGGGGGGCAAACAGG